rnacentral:lncRNA from 1 species
CCAUCACCUUCACCACCACCUCCACAUUCUCCAUUGCCUCCUCCAUAUGGCUACAAGUCACCACCUCCUCCAUCACCUUCACCACCACCUCCUCCAUCACCUUCACCACCACCUCCUCCAUCACCUUCACCACCACCUUCACAUUCUCCAUCGCCUCCUCCAUAUGGCUACAACUCACCACCUCCUCCAUCACCUUCACCACCACCUCCACAUUCUCCAUUGCCUCCUCCAUAUGGCUACAAGUCACCACCUCCUCCAUCGCCUUCACCACCACCUCCACAUUCUCCAUCGCCUCCUCCAUAUGGCUACAACUCACCACCUCCUCCAUCACCUUCACCACCACCUCCACAUUCUCCAUCGCCUCCUCCAUAUGGCUACAACUCACCACCUCCUCCAUCACCUUCACCACCACCUCCACAUUC